rnacentral:lncRNA from 1 species
UGGAUAACAUCAUCGACCAAAUUUGUUUCCCAAAGCCAACGAUACAAAGCAACGCAUGCUUUCCGAAGGAAGAUGAGGGAAACGAACACCAACGUCGCCACAAGCGUGUUUUCCGGGAUCAGAACACAAAUUACCCUGAUGAACGGCUUCCGUCGGUCACUCUCAUCCAGUUCAAGAAUGCUUUCACGACGAGAAGCUGUCCAGCGAACGGUAAUAGCACACAGGAAGAAGAAGGAGGAGGACGAGGAGAUGACAGUUCAUCUGAUCACCUUUAAUUACCCACGCGGCACUUAUUGUAAACACUGCAGCCGCGGUUCGGCUGGUUACCCGACCGCGCUGGCAAGCAUUUGCCGUAGGACUGCCCACCUCCCGCGUUGCAUGCCGGCUUGUCCGGGGUGAGGGCGCCGUAAGAGAUAUGCCCGCCAUCCGCCAGGAAACGACGGUGAGUCUCCGAGUCCAUGAGGAACUCCGCCUCCGCGUGGCAUUCCGCUAUGGAGCCAUUGCAUCCGACGCCCGUCGCCGCUGGCCGCCUUAACUCGACGCCGCGGACCGUAAGCUCCCAGCUGCUGACAGCAACGAAGAGGAGAAGAGAUAGGGGAAGAAGGCGUAGCUCGUUCUUCAUGGCCUCCUCCGCUUCUCUCGCUUGUCGGAAGGAGAAGGGGAUGGUAAUGGAUUCUUGGCUCGGUGCGUGCGUUAUUGCCGCAUACCGGUGACAGAGUGUGACAGGUUGCAAAGUGGGUGGUGGAGAGGACUCUUUUAUCCUUCUCGCCACCCCCACUGAGAAGAUGGCGAAUGUAAACUAAAUCAUCCACUAGAGACUGUUGUUUGGUCUGUCGAUGCGGAAACUAAAUUAAAUCGAAUAUAGUGUAAGAAAAUAACAAAACAAUUACACCAGAAAGAACAUUAAACCGAUCGACAAGUAAGAGUGGAAUCGAAAUGAAAAGGUGAGGAAGGAAAGACGCAAUAGAGGGAGACAGCCGGAAAGAGACGUGGGGGAGUGAUGCGAACAAUCGAAUAGCAUUCCCAAUGACUCAACGCAAGUCAAUCGUCGGUGGAGUUGGGUGAGACAUCACGUCAGUCACAUCGGCCCUACAAUAAUUCAUUAAAGCAUGUUGUUCUUGUGUUAGUGUCACGAGACCACAUUGCGACUGUAUUGGUUGAUUCGAAAUGGUAAAGGUGAUCUAUAAAGGAAAUACCAAAUGCUAAAGGGAGUUUGGAAGGAUAGGAUUGAGACGAAACAGCAAAAAGCAAAAGAGGUUAGUCCACAUCGAAAACGAGACAUUAGAGAGAGAUCAAGAUUCUUUAUUUCUUGGGGGAAUCCCAUCUUAUUCAUGUAUUAGAUAGAUAGAUAGUUUCCCUUUAAGAAAUUAAUUAGUUAUAACUCUAUUUUUUUAUCUUAAAUUAUUUAUCUUUUCUUUAAGUUUAAAAAUUGUCAAUUAAGGAUGGGAUAAAUGCUUCCUCCCAUCCCAUCGAAGUUCUAAAUCCACGUCGCUUUGACCAGUAGCUUCAGGUCAAUCGAAUCAUGAUAAAAUGAUCCAAUAGCAUCAUUUAGUAUUAAAUGUUAACAAUUUGAUCCCUCCAAAUAAAUCUUAUUAGAAAAAGCACAUUUAGUAUCAACGUCGAUAUUGUUGUCGAGCGAUGAAAAAGCACAUCUGCAUUAACGACCCUUUUACCAUUAUGACAUUUAUAUUAGCACCGACGUAAAUGCAAAUAAAUAUCGCUCGACGAUUGCGUCGACAUUAACGUAGAUAUAAAACGAUCAUCAUCUCUUACCACUACUCUUCUCAUCCACAAUAGUUACUCACACUCCCAGCGAAACUGUCGUCCACCACCACCAACACCAUCCAUCACCAAUUGAAACAUUAAGAUUAUCAUUUUAUUUUUUAUUCUUUAUGUUUCCAUUAAGAAAAUCAAUGAUUAGUAAAACAAAUGAGUAAAUAAACCUAAACAUUUUAUUUUUGAAGGAAGAAACCAAUUAAUUAAUCAUCUAUGGCAGAAUGUCACAGAAUAUGCCAGCCUCAUACACCACGUAACCAUGCAAAUGACGUGGUGGGAGCUUUGCACCAUAGGAUCAGGCAAUAUGAACCCGUACGGAUCAAAUUAUACAUAUAAGUUUGAGAUAUUCAAGACUUAUUAGCAUUUUCUACAUCUACAUGUCAUGAAUCGCUAACAUAACUAGCAUGUGGAUACAACCAAUUCACGGUACAUAUUGCUACACUUAUGUUGUUUGAGGUUACAACAAUCUCUUUUUCUACUUGUGAUACAAACAUGGAGAAGAAACCAGCCGAGAAAUGUUUCAGAUGUUGCAUCGAUCGUAACCAGAGAACCAUGAACUGGGAUUUGUGUCCUUGGAAAAGUCAGCAUCAUCUCUGUUGCAGAAAGGCUCGAAUUCCUCUCUCCAUCUCUGAUCAGUGAGACUCUCGCCUCUGGUUUUAGGGUCGUUGAACACCGUAUACGUGAGAGCUUCCCUGGGCAAUCGUGAGUCUGAAAGAAGCUGGUUUAGCAAAGAAAUCUCUCUGUCAUAAUUCUUCUUCAAGUUAUCAAUCUCCUGGUAUGCCUUCUCGGUCUCCUGUUCUGCCAUACAUGCUCUUUUCUGCAGGAUAAAUAAAUAAGGUUUCUGUUAAACACUACUAUUGCACCGGGAACAGACAAAGGAUAACCCUCAAUUGAACUCCAUGCUCCACCAGGAUAUAGCUACCUAGAAACAAAAGCUACAUGUACAUUGCAUUAUCUAGUCAGUCUUGCUUGCUCGACGAAUCAAUUAAGUUUCUUUGGCAUCGAAUUGUUUUCUAAGUAAUGGCAAACGAUUAUACACAUCAAACUUAUUUAGUGAUACACGUAUCAGUGAUGGGGAAAACGUAAACUUAUGCAUUAAUAAGUUGUAAGGAGAAUCAUGCAGAUGUAUGUUACAGCAAACAGAAACAUACCUCGGCGGUUGCAACAGCUUCUUCUGUUUCCUUCAGCCGCACGAGCAAUUCUCCAGCAGCCUGUACAGCUUCAGCUGUAUCUCUAAGUUGAACCUGAAGACCUCUAUUCUCAUCUCUCCAAUAUUGCCGCUCCUUUUCUCUGUCAGCUCUAAGAGCAGAAAUUUCUGCAGCAAGGGAGUUAAUGAAUUUUGACUCCGCUCCUUUUACCCCAGCUCUGGCAGCUGCUUUCUUCACAUCCUCGAUGCCAUCCAUAAUUUUCCUGUGCCUCGCAAGUAGACCAAUAUGUUUCUCUUGGAGGUCUGCAUACUGCUCCAAAAUCCUAGCAUGACCCUGCAUUGCUGUCUGCAGUGCCUCCUUUAGCUCGUCCGUGCACUCCUUCUCCGAAUCAAGAUCCACCUUCCUCUUUUCAGCAAGCGAUCGACUUGCUUCAAGUUCAAGUUUAAGUUCCUCUGAAAGUAUGAUCCAUUCACUCUCCCUUUCGGUCCAAUUACACCCAUCUGGUUCAAUUUUUUCAUUGCCACUUGCUUCAGUUGACUCUGAUAUAGUACAGAGAGGAGUUGAAGUGGUUCCGCAUGAAUGAGUCAGCUGAAGCAAAGGGCUUUGUUUUCGAGUUGAGUUGGAAGAAAACUCCAAGUAAUAUUGUAAUUGACUUCUUAGAUCCUGGAUCUCUUCCAUCAAGACAUCCCUCUCACCCAUAUUAAAAAAGUUCUUAAAACCAUCCAGUUCUUCUUGAACUCUUUUAAGCUCGAUGUUAAGCCGCAUAAUAUCUGGGUGAUUCUCAUAUUUCUCUUUAAGAAGCUGUUACUUGCAGAAAAUAAAUAAAUAUUAGGAAAAACUUUAACAAAGUAAAACUCCUGAUAAUAGGGCUAUCAGGUAAACUGAAAAAAUGAAACUCAUCAGUUGACGCUGAAGACCUUGUGUUCAUUCAUGAGAGAAGCAAACUCUUCUUCCAUGAACUCCUCUGUCGGCAAAAUACCAUCCAUAAGACUCUCAAGACGAGAAAUUUUGUCCUCCCGUGUCUCAGCAAUUAUGGCACUGCAUUCUCGCUCAUGCUUAUAUUGUUGUAACUGCACCAGCCAUAGAAAUGAGAAAAGCAUAGUAUAGAAAACCAAAAAUAUAAAAAAAAUGGAAAAGAUACUCUACCAAACGAUUUAGUUGCAUGAUUUCAGCAGCUUGCUUUGCACAGUGUUCUUCAAGAGCCAUUUCUCGCCUGAUAGAGCCAGUCAAGACCUUCUUCACUGCCUACAGUCAAAAAAACAUCACCCUAAACCCUAUUAAACAAGUUUAAUAAAUCCAUGAACAUUUAAGAAGAAAUGAACAGAAAUCUACAGAAUAUUCAACUUAUGCUUUGUAAUGUACCCGAGGAACUUUCAUCUUGAGUUUGUCAGUCGACAUUGUUCCAUCAAUAGUUACCAAUUGAAGAUCAGUGCCAUUCUUGGUAUCUUCAUUUUCAUCUUCUGAAGCUAUCUUCUUGCAACAACUACAAACAUAUGCAGACAACUGUUCCAUUUCUUCUGGAUCUUGAACGAUUGUUUGUAUGCCAAUAUCGACCUUGUUUAUUGGCACCACUGGCUUGACAUCAGUAAGUGCAACAGAAAAUCUGAAUGAUGACCUCCUCACGAAUGGGUUAAGCUGCUGGUUAUCGAAAAUUUGAAGACCACGUCGCAGACUGGCUGCUAAAUUCUCAGUCUUGUUUGUUUGAGUUACAUAAGUGUUUAGAGGAUAUGAAGAUUGUGCAAGGGAUACGUUUAGUACUCCAGAGCCUAAUUUCAAAUCAUCUGCUAUAAUCUUCUGAGAUGCUGACAUAGAUGAUGAUGUUCUAAGGCUUUUUCUACUGAAAUUUUCAAGCACAGGUGAUUUACUCGAAGUAGGCAGUUGAAGAACUAGAGAUGUCUGGCUGGGCACAAUGCCACUACUGUCAGGAGAAACUAUGGAACUUGGGGAGCUAGAAGAAUCACGAGUUUGCGCUUCAUGGAUAAUGUAUUCCUUUUCCACUGACGGAUUGCUUUCGCUUUGUGUGUUAUGAUCUGGUAAAAUAUUAGUCCCUUCAUCAGCCAUAUGUACUUCACAAGUAUCAUUCAGUUGAUCAUCUCCUCGAUCUCCGGUAGAACCACCAUCAGAGUUUACAAUGAGUUGGCCUGGCCCUAUUUUCUUCAGAGCACACUCUUCAACUGCAAAAGUUUGAUCCUUUACACAGCCAGGAUCCAUCUUGUAGAUUGACCUGACAUCCCUGGCAACUGUAUCAUUAUCAUUAAUAGAGGACCUUAGCUCCUCUUUUGAUGCAGAAAGAUCGACGGAUAGUUUUCCUUCACAAGGUAAAGGUAGGCUUGCUUGAAUAUUUGGCAUCUCAACAUCACUCUCAUCAAUUUCCAUCUCCACAUCAUUGUCAUCUUUCAGAAUAGGUAGUGUUGUAGGACAGUUAAGACUCAUUUUCAAAAGAUUCAAGCUACGCCGAGCAUUCCAUGCUGAUGAAAAACUUCCGUUGUUUCCUGCAGAUCCAUUAGACUUCAUGCGUAGAAGUUCAUCCUAUUGACAAGAAGAUAUGUGAGCAAUUUGAAAUCUAAAACUUGAUGAUGCCAAAAGGAUAAAAUGAGUAUCACAGAAGUACCACCUUUAGUUGGCGUAUCUGCUCACGCAGGACAUUAACAUCAUCCUGUGUUAUCUCAUUGACAACUGCUUUGUUCUUUAUUGCUUUUGCUCGUUGUGCAAACCUUAAGGUGCUGAAAGUUUCACUUUUGCAGCUGCAUAUAUCAUAUUUCUCAAUCAACACAGAAGAAAGCAAGGGGGGAUGAGGUAAAGAUUAAAAGCCUCUUUUUAUACCUCUGUGAUGGUGAAACAGCACAAAUCAUUGCUAACUUGGCGUUACCACCAAGAGAUUCUUGCAAUAAAAAUGUAAGCCUGGAAUCACGAUAUGGAAUGUGUCUCUGUUUCCCAGACUGUGAAACUUCUGCGAGAAUAUUAAUUAAGUUUCUGUGAUAACAAAAUGCAAAAGUGUUAGCAAAAUCAGAUUAGAAAGAGUACCCUAAUAUACAUGCAUGUAAUUUUUCGUCUGCAGCUUGUUGAAACCAUAGAUUCAUGACAUGGAAAAAGUCCAUGGAAAAUACUAUGCAGAUACAAUAAAAGCUAUUGCAUGCAAAAGCGAGGCCAAUAAAGUUUCCUAAUAGAUUAAGUUACUUGUUCAUAGUUAUGCGGAUAAUCCAACUAACGUCACUAGUCUGCAACUAAAUUUGAUACAAAACUGUGACAGCCUUUUUCUGUAUAAUAACAAAGCUUCGCCCAAAAUGCCAGUGCAAUAAUCAAAGGGGAAAUUGUGACAUUCACGGAUGAUUUCAGGUUGAUAGUUAAGAUCAUUUGGGUGCCUUUUCAGCGCUUUUUGUACCAAAAAGCAUUGGAGAAUUGUCUACAGCCAGUGCAGUAAAAUUGACUUCCAACAUGCACUUGAGCUAGGGAAAACAAAACAUUAAAUAGUAACUGAGUAAACAUUGGAUGGACAUAGGCUGCACUACCUAACUUCAUGAAACUUCGAUUGACUUUUAUCAGACUAGCAAACCAGUCCAACGAGAUUUUGUUUUCUUAUCCUGGUAGUGGCAACAUUAUCUUAAAACAGAAUCCAUGGAAAUACUAUGAUUACUAUCUCAUGGUUAUAACUUAUCUUGAGAAUUGACAGAAACAUUUCAUAGUAACUCAGCUGCAACAGUAGAAAUCUUAGUGCACUUGCUAUCUUCCCAUCUUAGAGUUGCAUAUGACAACAUGUGUAGAACAGUUGAAUAAUGUUUACAUAUUUUCAGAAUUGCUCCGAUCCAAUUGAUGCAAAUCAGGACCAGACACCUAAGCUGAAUCUACAAUUCUACAUGAUAUAGCCCUUCCUGGCUCCACUAGCAUUUUUGGAAUAAGCAUGGAUCAACCAAUUCCAACAGAUACUAAUUAGAUUUUGGCCUCUGAUGACUAAAUUCAUAUGAGAGAUUAUGAAGUUGACUCGUUCCAUGAAAUAAUAAGAGUAAGCAGUGAGAAAAAGAAAGAGAGGGAAGGAUAUUAGGACAAGAGGAGAUGGAAGGGGAGGGAAAGAAACUAGACAAUGUCAUCAUGAAACACUGCUAGCUGAUCGUUGUGGCUUCUUGCUUCCUGUUUGUCAAAAUAGAAGAACAAGAAGGAAAGCCCUAAAGCUCUUGUGAGUAAAAGAAUUUAUAGGUAAAAUAAUAAUUUAUCUUUUAGCAUCUAGGACUGUAUAGUAGUCCUAUAAUUCAUAUGAGUUAAAUAAUGAUAGAAUUUAUAGCUGUCUAUCAGGCAACAAUCAGAUGUGCUUCUUACAAUAAAUCCUUGAGAAUAUUAGAAGAGAAAAGAUCCAAGAAGUCAGGCAUGGUAACUGAAAGAUUCUCACAAGUUUCAGGUUCCUAAUAGAGUAAUAGGUACUUCAAAAAGAAAAAGAAGAUUACUAGUAUCUAACAUUCAACAGGUUACAUUAUAAUGAUUAAUUGUGAUUAUGAACGAUGCACUAUAAGCAAUUAUAUUGAGAACAUAUGAACUGCAAUCAUACCCAAGCUGUGACAGGGAGCGGUUAAUAUUCCCUGCUUCCUUCAAGCGUUCCCCUGCUGCACCUGUUUGCUUUUGUCUUUCAGAUCCUGCCAGAUCAACAAGGUUGAUCCUGCUAGUCCUUAAGCUGAUUAAACCAUCACCUAAGCUCUACGAAAUUAUAAGGAAAGCACUUUGUAAAUCAACAGUGCAACAUAAAAGGCUAGACAUAUAUAAAAGUGUUGUCUAUGAUAUAAGAACUUAAAAUGCAGUGUCUUUUUAAGACUAAGCAAAGCAUGAUUCCACAACCUUGCAAAUAAUUGACAAAAGUUUCACUGUUGAACAAGGAAGCUACCAUUUGACCUACAUAUAUUUAUAUGAUUUCUUAAUCUGUUAACAUCAUAAUGAAAUCUUCAUCUCCAAGUGAACUUUGAUUGUUAACACAAUUUACUACCUUUGUCUGGGAAUCAACAAUGCAAGUAAAUACGCAGUGAGAACGAGAACUCUCCAUAUUUACGCUGGUUGCACCUGUUCGCCUGUUUGCUAAUCCCUGAAAAAUAAUUGAGAAGUGUAAAUAUGCAUAUCAUUUGCAAAUAUCAUAUCCAUAAAGCAAAAAAAAGAACAGCCAUGCCACGAGUCUAUGCUAAGCAUCCAGGAACUUGCAAAAUGGUUAAAGAAGAAGCAGUGUCAAACAAUCAAACAAAAGUAAUAAAUAUACAAAACCAUAGAAGAUAAUAAGAUAGAAACCAGAAUGUCAAAUCUCAAUGGCAAAUGGAUUUUCCAUGACACUAGCUCAACUAAUUCUACAUAAUAGAACUUUGCAUGAAAAGACUAAACUGCAUGCUAGAAGUAGCUUUAACAAAAGCAUUAUUCUUCAAGAAGGGACUUAUAAACAUCAUAAAACGGAUGAUUCAACUAUCAAUAGUUAAAAAAAUCAAAUCAGAAAAAUUUUCAUUAGCGCUGUAUGUGAAAACAGAAGCACACAAAUGAGCAUGCACAUACAAAAAUAUUCAUGCACAUGCACGCACAGUCACACUUGCUCUCAUCAAUACACCACAAGCAUGCACAUAAAAAAUGAAACUGAUCAUAUAAAACGAUAUCUACAAAAUAAAACAAAGGAAAAGUUAUGUUGGUGUUUUCAAAGUAUUCUAUAACGAACGGAUAAAAGAUUACUCUUAUUUACAAUUUGAACAUUUUUUCUUUUGAGCCAAUAAUCCUGAACACAACUCCUAAAAAGUUCUUUGAGAAAUAUUAAUUGAUCAACAAACUACAAAAUAUGACUUGGAAAAGAAGAGAAUCAAUGGACCUUCAUCAGCAGACGGAUCACAUCCUUCAUUGUAUACACAUACUCCUCUGUCAAACAGUCAACAUAAAUGCCAGCUUUAACAUCUUCCCUAAUCUGAAAGACAUGACAAAAUUCAGAAUUAAAUGAGAAAACCACAGUCAGAUUAGCAAAAAGAGCAAACCUAAAGUUAGUUCUCCACCUGAAGAUUCUUUUGUGUUGGAUCCAAAAGAUCAGUAAUUUGCUCAUUGUAGAUCUGUAAUCUCAACAAUCAGACAGAUUAAAAACUAACAAACCAACCAACCUAGAAGUACAUGAUUUGACGGUAGCAUCAGCACACUUGCCUCCAGAAAGGAACAAUGACACUGGUAAUUCAGCUGCUUGUCGGAAUGCUUAGCUUGCUCCUAAGACAUAUAUAAUCCUGUAAGCAUGAGUGGAUCUAAAAUACCAUGUUGAGCAGGACUACAGAGACUACCUACUUCAUUUAUGCGAGAAAAAAGCCGCUCAAAAACACGUGGAGUCAAACCCCACUCACUACUCGAAGAAUCUUCGGACAAGGCACUCGGAGGUCCCCACAUCGUAUACGUCUUUCCACUGCCAGUCUUUCCCGACAAAUUCAGUUCAAAACAACUUAUCAGCAUUCUUGAUAGCUAAUUGAGCAGAACAAAGAGACUUGGUCAUGUUUGAAAUCACAGAGCUGCACCUACCUGCCCAUACGCAAAUAUGGAACUGUUGAACCCGGCCAAGCAGUUCUCCACCAAUGGAAGCCCGACGAGUCGAAAUAUAUCAUCCUGUUAAGAUACUCAAGAGUUCAGAAGAUGAGGACUUUAAAUGUUAAGCGUUAGGGGGUGCUCGGAAGGUAAAAGAGAUGAAGAGAGAUCUCUAAUUCAAAGUGCAUAUAUACUAUUUGAGACUCGCCUGAGUGGAACUGAUAUCAGCUACCGAGUCAAAGGUGAAGGUAUGGUCAAGGAUCGAAAUGGAGUUUGAGGAGAUCUUUUGUACAAUCGGAUCCCCUUCUUCCUCUUCCUUGCUUGGCGGUCGCACUCGCACAAGUACCUGAUCCAACCACAAGAAACAUGUAAUUCGAAGACCCAACUGAACAGAUGAAAGUAGGGUUUCAUGAGGUCUCACCUGAACGCCCGAAUCUGACGACAUCGAGGGCGGACCCCCAUUCUCGGCGAGGGUUUCCAGGCUCAGCUUCCGCUUGAGAGGGUUGCCGCCGUGGAACGAGGGGAGAGGCGGCUUGGGAGGAAGCGGGCUCCGGUUCCUGGCGGAGAGCGGCUUUCCGGGAGACUUGAAAGGAGAGGAUUCCGGCGGGGUGGUGUUGGGGUCGACGUUCUCCUUUGGGGCCCGAGGAGGGCGCUGCUUCUGCGAAGAAGGGGUCAGGGUCUCGGAGGGCGAAACCCUUCCACCCUUCGAAUUUGCGAGCGCCUUCAUCGAGAUCAAAGAAGGAGGGAGAGAGGGAGAGAGAAGAGAGGAAGGCGGAGAGAUCUGAUUCCCUUGAGAGGUGGUGGGCGAGGAGAGGGGGAGGGGGAGAGCCGAUUUGAUUUGAAAUUGAGGGGUGCAAAUGUAAUUUUGUGGAUUUUUUUUUUUAUUUAAUUGAGGUCUUCUGAUGGGGGAGCGGCGGAAGAGUGGACGAUGAAGCGAUGGGUUUGAUUUGGACCGUCUGAUCGUGUACAGUUCCAAGGUUCCAUGGCAACGGUCCAUUUUCUUGGAGUGUUCCCACUUCUCGUGUGGGGAAGUGAGUAUUGUUUUCCGUUACAAUUUAAAAUGGGAAAAGAUUAACCACAGUAAAUUUUGACCCACUUGAGCGACGGCCUAUACGUAUAAAAGGUUGAGUUCAUCGCAUGGCUUUUGGGAAAGUCAAUUCUGUUGGAAUUAUGGAUGAAGAGACUAGAAAAUUUUCCAAGUUCUCAUAUUUUAAGAUGAUAUUUGAUCAUAUAUUGAGUGUCUUGAUACUUGGUUCAAUUAUGUGAACAUUAACUUUUUCAUCGUGAUUUUUCAUUUGAAAAAUAUCUAGAAGAUAUAAUUUUUUAUGAUAUUAUUGAUAACAAUUAUAAUUUUAAAAGAUGAAUUCUAAAAAAAAAAAAUUAAACUUUUGAAAUUUAACGUAAAGGACUCUCUCUUGGAUUCAUCAUCCAUAACUCUCAUGCAUUUAUGGUCUUCGUUAGAAGAAGAUUGAGAUGCAGAGGAGAUUAUGGGUUUAACAUGGGCUUAUGUGGAUAUAGGGACGACUCUAAUAUCACUUUAUUUCUUGUGCAAGAAUUAUAACAAGACACAAAAGCAAUUUCGAUAUAAUAUGUGGAGGCAACAAUGGCUCAACAACUGAUGAUUCUAUGGGAGGCAACAAAGUUCACAAAAGUGAUGACAAUCUUCAUACCCCCUUAUUUCUCGUGCGAGGAUUAUGGGUGAGCACAACAAAGAUUUUGUGAUGCAGGAUGAGCAGGAUGAUGGAUCCGAUUGGAGUUAGAAACAAAAUGUUUAUUUUUUAAUAUAAAAUUUUUGAAUAUAAAAGGAUACUCUACAAAAAAUUUGUAAAGUAUGGACACUCUAUAGAAAAUUUUUAAAAGCAUAAUUUUUUUUAGAAUUUAUCUUAUUUUAAAAAUAAAAUAUUUUAUUUUUUCAAAAUUGGAACAUUUACGUCUCUUAUUUUUUUAUAAUUUAGUUUCUAUUUUGGAAAAGUUAAGGAGUUUUGAGUUUUCUAAAAUGAAUUUAUUGUCUUCAGAAAAUACAAUCAUUUCUCUAUUUAUUUAUAAAACAAAAUUUAUAAUUAUAUAUUAUAUAUUUUUAGAAAUAGUUUUUUUUACCUUUUUGUUGAUAAAAUAAUUUUAAUUUAGUGUUGAAUUAUUAGUAACCAAAUUUCUAGAAAUUUGGUUACUAAUAAUUUAUUGUUUAUUGUUUUUUGUGUUAUAGAUUUUUUUUUUUCGCUACAAACUGUUUCAUGUUACAAAUAGUAUUAUAUUUUCUAGUAUUUUUAAAAUUAAUUUAUUUUACAUUUAAACAUUUAAAAUUCUUCAAUUUGAAUCUAAAUUUCAAAAAUUUUGAAUUUUUAUAAAACAUUAAACCCCUCACAAAACAGUGUUUGAGACUUGAGUGUUCUAAACAAACUUGAUUACACAGUUUAGAGAAAAGUUAAAAACAAUCAUAUACUUGAAUCAUGCUCAUUUCUAUCUAUUUAUUGUAAGCAAUAUUAAAAGCAUGGUCUUAUACCUUUUACUUGAUUACAAAUUGGUAAUUAGCUUUAUUAUAGGAACUCAAUAAUAAAUUUAAAAUUAAAACUAUGUGAGCUUUACCUCUUCUUGAUUUUAAGUGUUAUGACUAUGAUUGAUUCAGUUGAUGAAAUCAAUUAUGAUGAAGCGUAACAUUAAGCUCAUGAGAUCAUGCAAAGAAAUAUUCUUACAAAGAGUCUUUCUACUCUUUAUUGUUAACGUUAUAUCAGUACAGUGAAAAGGGUUUUUAGCUCAUAAGAUUAGCGAAUAAAUUAUAAUAUUACAAAAAUAAAUUAAAAUUUGUGUUAGUUCUUCGUGAGGUUACGUGAAACUGAGAAUUUUUUCUCUAUUUAAGGGCAAUGCUCAAAUUCCCCUUUUCCAAUGGAUCCUCCUCUCUUCUCGUUCCUUCGUCAUCCCGCUCCUCUUGCUCCUCAAAACCCUAACCCUAGUCCAGAUCCCAUCCCGAUCCCUCGCGCUGCCGAUCUCCCGACCGUCAUUUCCCUACUCACCGACCUCGCCACACUUGCUGAGUCCACCCUCAAGUCCGUCUCCGACUUCCUUUCCCUCCCCCCUUCCUCCGCUGCCGCCGUUGGCGAUGGCUUCUGCCGAUGCCCUUACGACCGCAACCACUGCAUGCCGCCGGAGUCUCUCUUCCGCCACUCCCUCCUAUGCGCCUCCGCUCCCGGCGCCCCUCUCCUUGACCUCGGCUUCCUCGACGCCCUACGCUAUCCCGGCUCCCUCAAGUCCGAGGCCGAGCUCCGGACGGAGAAUUCCUUCGUCCAGUCCCUCCCUGCCCCCGACGCCGACCUUUGCUUUUCUCUCGAUUCCCAGCUCGGGGACCUCGGCUCCGGCUUCUUCUACAAGGAUUGCCCCGCGGUCGUGACCACACCGGAGCCCGAUGUGGCCACGACCUUCACGCUACCCGGAAUCUUAUCCGCGGAGUGCGCCAACUUUGCGAGCGAUCGUGAUGGAGAAAGUUGGGUUCUCGGGGAAGGUAAGAUUCGAAUCCUUCCAUCCGAGUAUUGGGCGUUGAGAUGUGAGGUGGAGGCGUGGAAUGACUUCCCGGUUUCUUACUCUUAUACGGUACUUCGUGUCAUGUCGAGCUUGAAUUUGGUCGAGGAACGUGGGUUGUUAAAGAGGUGGGUGAUCUCAAAUUCACCUCAAUUUGGGAUCGUGAUCGAUGUUGCCAUGCGGGAACAUAUAUAUCUACUUCUGAAAUUAUGCUUGAAAGUUAUUGGAAGAGAAGCUCGUUCCUCACUUAAGUUGUUUUUGGACAACGAGCGGCUUUGCAAUCCGAAGUCUCUUAAUUUUGAGUGUCCUAGAUUGGUGAGAAGCUUCCGUUGGUUGGCAUCUCAGAUGUCAAUUCUGUAUGGGGAGAUGAAUUCUAAGUUAUUCGCAACUGGAAUGCUCAAGGAGUCAUUGGUGCAAACUGGGUCAAGCUUGAUGUUAACUAGUUUAGGCAGAGAAAAUAUGGAAAACGAUGGUAGCAUUGUUAUCAAUGAUGCUUGUGUUGAUGAUACAAGGUGUGGGUCUGAUGAGUACAAAUCAUAUGAAGACAUGAAACUAGAAAAUCCUUCCAAAGAUGCUAGUAGGGGCCAAAUCUUUGUUUCUCAGGUUGCUGCUGCAGUCGCUGCAUUGCAUGAGAAAUCCUUGUUGGAGAAAAGGAUCAAGGCCCUACGAUUUUCCCAGCCACACUCCAAGUCUCAGCUGUAUGAUUUAUUCUUGCUUCUAUUAUGUGUUUCUUUUCACCUAACAUGUCAUUCCUAUGCUUGCCUUUGUCCUGAGGCCAGGCUUUUGACCUUUUUGCCCCUUAAUUUUCGAGAAAUAUUUGUGAUAGUUCUGUUCGUUUUUUAUGAGCGCCAGAUCAAUAUUACAUAUUUGCUCAACAAAAUUGAAAAUGUGGAAAUUUAUGAUUAUGGAAUAGACAAAAUUUUCUAUCAGGCAAGAGAAGAAAGAAUAAAGAGACUUUGGAAAAAAAAGGUAACAUGUUGUGGGUCUUAAAAUGUUCUGUACAUGUAGAGUUAUAAAACAUAGGCAACUGACAAGACAUGUAUAUAUCAUUAUUACAAAAUAUUGAUAAUGUAUAGUCUAAUUCCUUUAGAAAACGAAUUUAUUUUUAUUGGAGACAAACUUAGAUAUAAAAAUAACAAACAAUUAAACUAGCACCAAAGAAUGAAAGGCCAGUGUUAAAAGAUCAAGAUGAAAACAUUUUGUAUUGGAUCUUUCUUGGGAAUGAAUUAAUUGCAAGGAAAAUAAAAAAUACUUUACCAUAGAAAACAAUGAUAAGUCAGUUAGGUUGCAGGAAGAGGAGACACAAAACUGUUCUCUUCACUUUGUUGUGUAGUCAGGAUAUAGACACAAGUACCUCCUCUUUUGGAAAAAUAUCUUGAAAAGUUUCAGGAAGGAGGUUGUGGAGAAGUUUUAAGAGUGCGCCUUGGUGUGAGUGAGUUUGGCUCCAAUGUGACUAAGGGUGGACUAAUUGAAACAACCUUCCUACUAGCAUAGUUAAGUGACAUACAUUUAUCGUCGGUAGGUGCUAUAUUGGCAGUACUCUUAUGCACUGUACAUGGUGACUAAAGUUUGAGUCAUGAAAACCUCUAAAGUUGAGAUUGUGUACAAAGACGAGAUUAUGUGCUUGUGCUGCCUUUUUUGUUUUGUAGACAAAAAAAAGGAAAAUGAACAAUUAAUUAUUUAGAGACAUUAGGGAAAACAUUAGUUCAGAUCGUUUUAAGAUUUGCCAUCAAACAAACACUAGAAAAGAAGUUUUUGAGGGAAAACACUUCCCUUCAGAAUUUUGUAACAUAAACCUUAGAGGAGUAAAAAUAAGAGCCGAAGAUUGUAGAGUCGAGAAAGAUUCUUUGCUGCUUUCGUUUCUAGAAGAUGGAUGCAAAGAACAUAUGUUAAGGUAUCAAGGAAUAGAGAGGGAUAUUAAACACAUCUAUAUUAUAUAGAAGUGUACCUGUUUCACAAUUUCUUCUUGUUAGAUUGUUUUGACACUUGACACCUUCAUGUCUAUGGGAAGCACUCUCUUUGCACCAUAUGAGAAUAGAACGAGAGAAACUACAAAUAUGAGAGUACGACAAGAGGAUAAAGGUAGUGGAAGUUGUUUAUACACACAGAAAUUGUUAACUAUCACCUUGUGGUAACCUAUGAGUCUUAUGGGAAGUUUACUGAAUAUCACCUAUGAGUCUUAUGGGAAGUUUACUGAAUAUCUAAUUCAUCAUUGCCUUCUACUGACAGAUUCAUCUUUAGUCAUUUUCUACUUCCUUCAAACAAGCUUCAAUAUCUCCCUACUGUAACUGAUUUGGAGAUAAUGAAAAGUGUGUUUAAUAUAGAUGUAUGCAUCAACUAGAACAAAUAUUUUUGAUGUGUUAGCAUUUCGGGUCUUUUGAUCCUUAUUCAUUACACAUUUCAAUGAGAUGUUUCAUUACUAUGUCUAAAAAGUAAAAAUGGUUACCAGAAUCAUGAAGAUUGCUUUUAUUUUAUAGCAUUUCACUAUGAUAUAUCUUUUUGUUUUUUUUCAGAAUACUGGAACACUCGUAUGCAUUAGCCAGAGGUUUUGAAGAACGUGGAAAGCGCCCCAAUUAUAGGCCUGUUCUGGAACAUGAUGGGCUCUUUUGGCAUCGAGCACAAAACCAGGUGAAUUAUGCAUUGACUUUUACCUUACACAUGGAUAUGUUUUGUCAUGCCAUGUGCAAUAUGAUUUUGAUGAAUUUUUCAAUGUAAUUACACGUUAAGGUAGGCUCAUGUUGUCAAGUUGUCCUAUGAAGCACGAGAAUUUAACAAAUGCCUUAUUUUGUUAUAUUGUCUUUUUUAUAUUCUAAAUUAUAUUUUUUUCAUAUUAUUUUUUUCUAUAGAGAACAACAAUACUUUGUGGAUCUAAGUGUUGGGCAAUUAAACAACAACAUGUACAAAAAGUUUGUGUUGUCGAGAUGAGAAUGUUGAGAUGAAUAUGUGGAGUUACUAGGAAAGAUAGAAAAAUAAAUACUUUUAAUUAUGAAGUAGAAAUAAUGUUAGUAUUACGAGGAGAGAUAGAGAAAGACUAAAAAAUAGCUUAAUAGAAACAAUAAAUAAAGAUUUAAAUAUUUUAAACUUAACUAAAUAUAUGAUUUUUUACAAAUCUCAAUGGCUGUAAAAGAUCCAUCUAGCCAAUCCCAAAUAGUUGGGACUUAAGAUUUUGUUGGUGUUGAUGUUGAUGUAUUGUUUCUUUUUGUACUUUUUCUCAUUAAAAUUAUGUUAACUGUUUAGUGAUUCACUACUUUCUUUGACUGAGGGGGUGCUAUGGGGCUUGGUGAGUGGUUAUUAAGAUAAAAUGAACAAGAAUGUGAGAAAUGGGUGUGGGGGAUUAGCGUCAUUAGUUAUUUACUUCUUUGCUCAAUUGAUGGGGGCUUGUUAGGAAAUCUAGGCUAAUUGAAGAAGCGAGAGAAAGGUGUGCGUUGGAUAGUAUGGAGUCCCAAGUGUAGAAAGGGGUGACUAUGGUGUCAACUAAAUAAAAACAAGCGGAGCAGGCCAUCAUGUUGCUUGAUGCCCCCAGCUAGAGAGGGUAGAGAAGAGCAGGAGAGCCUACUUUAUUACACAGUGCAUAACUGUCCACCUACCACCUGCCACUGACUGUGCAAUGACCCAUGUGUGGUUUGCUCAAUGAGCUGGCCAUCAUGUUGCUCGAUGCCCCCAGCCAGAGAGGGUAGAGAAGAGUAGGAGAGCCUACCUUAUUACACAGUAUGUCGCUGUUCACCGACCACCUGCCACGAACUGUGCAAUGAUUCAUUCAUGGUUUGCUCAAUAAGUGCCACACGUAUUCUAGUUAAUUUGUGUCUUGUUAGGGUUCGGGUAGGGUAUAUUCUCUGGAUGAGAUAGUAAUUGGUUUAUUUUAUAUUUUUGUUCUACAGUCCAAAUCAUGGAGACCAUUGGAUCCUUUGAAUAAAUAGUAGAUAAAUUAAACAAUUGAGUUGGGUUGAAUUGUACAAAAGGCCUGAUUUUUUAUUUGAUUUCUAUUGGUAGCUCCUUUUACCUAUUCCCGUCUUCUCUCCCGUUCUUUCUUUCUUCUUCCUCUCUCUCAUUGACCAUAUAAUAUUCAUCUUAUCGAUAUCAAACAGCAUGUUGGUUGAUUAGAACUUUGUGUUUUGUUAAUGGUGCGUCCGUUCUUUGUCAUCCGUUUAUCUCCUUACCUAUCUAUCAAACACCGCUCUACUACGUCAUAUACCCAUAUUAGGACCCUAGGAAUACUAAUUAGAUUCUAAAAAGGGCUCUUUUGAUUCAUCAAAAUAGCUACUAAGAUUAACUAUGGUAAUUACUUCAGAAGUAACAACAUAAUCAACAGUGUAUUAUCCUAUUCUACUUGGAAGUCAGGUUGACAAAGCAUUUUGAAGUCUUCCUUCUCCUCGAUUUGUAGUUGUAUGGUGAUUUCAGGACUCACAGAAAAAAGUGCUGAAUUCUCCUUUCGAUAGUUACAUUGUGCUCUUUCCUUUAUGUGAAGGACGUUAGGACUAUUUGGAUAAGAAAUCCAUCUUUGGACCGCCCAGGUUUCUUCCUUCCUCUCCUGGUCUAAAACUUAUCAAAACCCAUCUUCAUGAAUUUCUUAGUGGUUGUACGAGCCCUCACAGGUGUUGGUUUGGGAGAGGAUUAGAUCAUAACAAAAUAUCAUAUCACAGGCUGUGUUAGGUUCAGCUUCAAGGUAACUGGUUUGGAUAUUACCAACCUAGCUAAUUAAUUUCAAUCCCUUUUUUGUAUGUUUGCUAAUCUAGCUAACCGAUCAUGUUCAUCUGGGCUAGUUAGCAGCGAAAUGAGAGGUUUUUUGAUGUAUGAUUGUAUGCGCCCCAUAUCUUCAAGGCACAAAUAACACAAGCCACAGCCAAGUAAAGCCUCCAACACACCCUGCCACAACUGCCAAAAAAGAACACAAGAGGAAAAAGCACAAUGAGGUGCUUCUAGUUAUCAUGUUUGUAGUCUGAUACAUGUAUAUUAUUAUGUUGCACAUGUAGCUUGGUCUCUAUAUCUGCUUUAGUAUGAGUACAUUGAUACAAAUGUACCUACAAAUAUUCAUUUCCUUUUUUUUAAUGUGUAAUUCAUAACAGUCUCCAUAGGCAGGACACUAUUGUCCUUGUAGAUGCAAUCCACAUGUUUAGAGGAUUGAGUAAAGCUAUGACAUAAUAGAAGCUUUGAGGUGAUGGUCAUCAGAAGUAUAUUGUCAAAUCUGCAGAUGGAAUUUUGCAUGCAUGGAGAGGGAAAAAGUUAACAUUAACUCUUGAUAAUCUGUGGACUCAGCAUAUGUUUAACUAAAAAACACAAUAUAUACCACAAAAUAUACAUUUUGUAUGCCUUAAAAUUUUAUAUUAUUUUCUGUAAUUUUCUUGUGCAUUCUGACGAGAAGAAAACAUUAUCUUUUUGGCAAGUUUUAAGCAUAGAGUAUGAGGUGUAAAAAUAACUAGUUUUUCAAGUAUGAUAUUCAUAACUUAUUUUGCAAUAUUAAAAGAUGAAUGAUUAUAUAUGAAUGUGAGCUUACAUACAUUAUGUUAGUACUUUUGCAGCUGAGGAAUAUUGUUUAGUGUUUGUGAUAAUUCCUGUACAUGUACUGUUAACAGUCUCAACCUUUUAGGUAUACAAAGCCGAUCACCUAAUGAUGAGUAGGUUAUUUGAGAGCCUUUUUUUUUUUUCAUUUUUUUGUUUAGGAUCUUGGGAAAGCCAAGACAAGAGAAGAGCUACUAGCUGAGGAAAGAGAUUACAAAAGGAGAAGAAUGUCAUAUCGUGGCAAGAAGGCGAAGCGAAAUCCAACAGAGGUAUGCAUUAAUAAAUUUGGUAACAUAAAUGAAUUUCAAUCAUUUGUGUUGUAUCAUUCUAAAAUGAAGAAUAUGUGAAGACUACUACUUAUAUUGUGACUUCCAACAUCCUGAUUUUUUUUUAACUUGUAAAUAAAAAUUUCAGUGAGUUCUUAAUCAUGCAUCCAGAUCCAUAAAUAGUCAUUUUCUUAAUAUGAAGACAAAUAUAGCUGCUUGGGUAUAGGUAACAAGUAUUAUGACUACGUCAACUAACCCAAAUUGCUAGUUUUGAUCUGUUGUGUUAUAAUGUUCAGAACAUGUUUAAAACUUAAUUGUUUAUAUUAUGUUGUGCAACAUGUUUUUUUAUCUCUGGAUUGUCUAUCUUGUGUUCACUUUCUUGUCUCAGAGCAUUCUUACUGGAAUGGUUAAAGGCCCACUUUGUUGCUUUCCUUAUAGUCAUGUUGAUGUUUGCUGAUGUACAUGUGAAAUGUGUAUUCACCUGUGCAUGCAAGUUAAUUGUAAUGCAUUGAGUUUUUUAAUCUUUGUAUAUUUGCUUCUUUUUGUCAUUUUAGACUUUUAUUUAAGUGCUAGCAUAUUCUGAUUUUAUGUUGCUGAAGGUAAUAAGGGACAUCAUUGAGGAGCACAUGGAGGAAAUCAAACAAGCAGGAGGUAUCGGAUGCAAUGUAAAACUCUCUGCUGAUGCAGCAAUUUUCCCAGUCAACCAUGAUGCCCAGAAUGAUGCAAUUUCAGAUCUUUGUAAGUUGCAAACCAGUGACUUGGAUGAUCCAGAUGCAAGAAGAAAUACUCGUCAUAAAGAAUCACUAGAUGGUGAUGCUAUUCAAAGUCAUAGAUCAAAUGUGAACAAAGAUUUUCUGAAGUCUCACUCAAAACUGAAGUAUGAACAACAUGAGCAUUGGGAAGAUCAAGAUAAAUCUAUGCAUGAAAGAUGGAAGAAUUAUGGUUCUAGCAGCUCUUCCUCUCACAAAAGUUUGGCUUCAUCACGUGACCGAAUUGCACAUGAAAAGGAGCAUGGUGCUGCAGUUCCACCCAGCAGUAAAUAUGACAGUAUGAAUUCUGGAUAUUUUUCUAGGUCAAGAGAUCACAUAAAUCAAUCAACUUUAACAUCAAAGUCUUCCAGGAGGGAAUACGAUCACAUAUCACGAGAUAAGAGUAAAGAAAGAGACAGAACUUUUGGACGACAUAGAUCAGAGUCAGUGACACAGGACACGUUUGAGGAUAGAUACAAUCCUUCUGACUCAUAUGAUGAUUAUCAUGCCACCUACUCUAAUGUUUCUGCAGACAGUACCUAUUACUCGUCAGGCAAGGUUUACAAUCCAAGAGAAGAUGGCAAAUAUAAUCAUGAGCAGCGUUCUCGAAGGCGGAGCAAAGAUUAUAAAUAGGUCAAUCACUUUUUGAUGACGUAAAUACUAGUCCCGUAUCUAUUUUAUGAUGUCAGUACCUGUUUUACCUUGUCAUAUAUGGUAUUGAGAUUUUUCCCUUACAUACCUGUGCAGUAUUUACUGAGGCAUCAUGAGUGUUCUCCACGUCCGUAUCCUUCUCUGUAUCCUCAUGGUUAAAGAUAUCAUGUUUGCCUUUUAUCUUUGCUGUACAGUUCCUUUCAUGUUUAGUUGUGCUAUAUUACACCUAAUCAACAAGGAUCAAUACACAAGUUGUGUUAAAAUGAGAUGGGUUGGGUUUCUCAAGUUGUUUAACUAAUACCAGAUUAGUUUUAGGUCAAGUCAUAGAACUUGUUUGUUAAGGUUUUAAAAUGAUGGUAUAAAUUCGUAUUUCUUUAGACUAGUUUUCUGCUGUUGAUUUUACAUUUUCCUUUGGAGCAUAAAUUCAGCAUGCAAAAGAUUUUAGGCCUCACAGCAGUGUGCUGCUACUGAUGAUGGUCUCCAUUUACUUAAUGGGUGCAAGAUUUGGUUAUUGGUCAAAAUUUGAUUAAUCAGUGAAGACUGGGGUUGCAGAUGUCUUUUGGCUGUUUGCUGAAUUGCCUUCUUUGUUGCAUUUUCUGUUUCCUGUUGAAUUCAGUUAAUGAUUAUACAUGCUUAGCCUUGCCUCUUUGAAUUCCCUUGUUCUGCAGUUAAUCGACAAAUCAUUCAUGCUCUAUGGUAGUUUUUUUUUUCCUGAUAUUGGACAACUGUAAGCAUUGAAUGCAGUGUUUACGAUGGUGAACGUACUUCUACUAAGAGAGCGAUGUUGAUUCUUUUGUGAAGCAUUGUGAUAUAGAAUUUUGAAAUUUUUAUGGUUAUUGUGACUGAUUUCAACAUUUUUGAUGUACCUGGAUUUGCUUUGGUUUUCUGUGUGUCAAAAAUUGAUAGUUUCUUCAAGCAGGUUUGUCUUAAGCAGCCUACCCUAGACAGUAUUUCAGUUUAAGCUGCCUCUUUGUUUAAUUCAUUACUUCUUUUGCCCUUCUGCAGUAUUUCAAUUCUUUUGCCCUUCCUGUUUGAACUGCACAAGACAGUAUCUCAAUUAACUUACAAAUUACAAAAGAUUUGUUAAUUCUUUUGCCCUUCUGCAGAAAGGACUUCCUCUUUGGUUUACUUCAAAAUGUUACUGUGUGGAUUAGCAUUACUGCUAUUGUAUGGAUUUGCUUAAGCAUGCACCAAGUACAUAUUUCACGGAGAGCUUAUGGUUGGAGGAGAUUAUGAAGUCAGCUGACUGCUUUGGGAGCAGUUACUAGAAUGGGUUCUAGUCGGCGCAUUAUUAGGUAUGCUCAUCCUGGACCAAGUAAUGUUUCUAAUUUUGGGUUUUUUUUAUGCCAAAUCCAGGAAUUAUCUUGAGGAUGAUUGCUUCAUAAAUUUUGACUCUUAAUUCAUGUAAGAUGAACUUAUUGUGCCCAUAAUAGAUCAGCAUUUGAGGCUGUCAACAUUUAAUUUGGUAAAUUUUCAUCUAUGUUCAUCUGUUUUUUUUAUAUAUCCCUCUCAAGUUAACACUUGUUGCUAUAUCUACGGUGUUGGUAGAUACAUGUUGGACUACUAUUGAGUUAAAUACAGAUACAAAUAGUUUCUUUUUCUGUAUGUUUUUCCUUACCAGAUAAAUUACUUAGUUAUGUGGCCCCUUGGUCGGAUGAGAUCAGAUAGAUAAGAACCUAAGUACUAUGGAUUUGCGUUACUUGCAAUAUAACUCAUUGUAGUACAUUCCAGAAGUUAAUCAUAUGGCUAGCUACAUGUGGAAACAGGUAAGAUUUACUCGAAUAAACAUUGGCACUAGUGAACUCUAAUUUAGUAAGCAAACUUUCACGAAGAAAACAUUGGAAAUUUAGGUUUAAGAGUUGUUAAUAGGUCUUGAUAGUACCUUCCCUAUUUACUUCCAGUUUGAUAAAAUCAUGUAAUGUGGUGAUUCAAUUAGGAGAAUAGCUGAAUAAGCUUUUCGUCAGAAUUAGAAUAACUUUGAUGGUGAUAUUGGAAAAGAUGAAACAUCAAAAUGGUGAUAGAGUCUAUGUUUAAUGUCCAAGUGAAAGUUUGAGUGAGACAAGAAUAGAAGGCAAAAGAAAUAGUUAUUCUGGGGGAAAAUACAGAGUAGAAAGAAGUUAAUAUAACCCCUUUUAUAUGCUGAGAGGGUCCAAUGAGUUUGUGACAAUAGCCUUAGGUUUCCCAGACUCUUAAAUUCCUCCUUAGUGUUAAGAGGGACUCGUGAAUAGGUUGGAUUGCUGUCAGUAAUAGAUUGAAACAGAGUGAUGAUACCUUUUGGGCCAUAAUAGGGAGUUAUUAAUUUCCUAGUUUGUCAUAGUCAUGGCUCAAUAAAUUUUGCUUUAAUUGCAUCAUCUUUUCUUGCUAGAGAUUGAUUUGUUGUGUUUUGAUGCAUGUUGGGAUUCUCUAUGGGCUCGGAUAUCAGACAUGAGGUCCAUUUUCUAAGAUGAAUAGAUGCCUUGUGCAUUUGGAUAUGCUUAGUGAGAGUGGUCAGUGGGAUGUCAUAAUCCACAGUGACAGAACAGAUGCUACAGGCUGACUAAAGGUCAAGUUUCCCACAUCCAAAUAAUGCAAGUGAAGCCACAUCUUAGAAGAGUGCAAAGUAAAACGUCAAUCCCACUUUUCCUAAUUCUGACCUCUGUCAAUGACCACCGUAGUUCUUUUUCGGUGGCGGGCAGUGGUUCGCAAGAUCCAGCUGGAGUUAGACCAAAAGUAGGCGCUAACGAGCGCAUGCAAUUGACAAGGAUCAUCCAGUCUUAAUCUGAUUCAGAGUGAUUGACGCAAAAUCACUAUUAAAACAGUUUUCGAUUCUUCAACAUGUCCCGAGUCAGCUUCGGUUUAAGCUCAAGUCUAUUUUGGAAGACAAAUGAAUUCAUGAGCGGUAUGUUCGAUAAAAGCCUCUUUUAGUCUUCAAGUUAGUAGAGUUGAAGCAUAAGAUAGGAUUCAGAUGAUCAAAAAGCUUUAGGUCAAUUAACGUCUCUGAGGUGUUUUUGGGGAGCGAAUUAAUCUGUGGGAGCAGUCAUGCAGGAUUGUAUGAUUGUUGAGCAUUGUACAGUUGGUGCCAUCGUGCCGAUCAUAUAGGUCACAUGGCCGAUGUGUCAGAGUUGACAUGACAUAUGAGCAAAUAUUAGAUUGAUAAUUAUAUGACGUUUCAGAUGCCUACAUGUUAGGUGCCUUGUAAGUUUGUACUUUAGUGUCUUUGGAUUGUGAGAUUAUCCAUGUCAGGUCUGUACUUUAGUGUCUUUGGAUUGUGAGAUUAUCCAUGUCAGGUCUGAGGAUAAUUAGUGCUAAUCAUGCAAGGACCGAGGAUGAAUUUUGUAGUUGGCUACGAGAGUUACCUCUUGCCUUUGGAUUUUUUUUUUGGUUCGCUGUGGUGUCCACCAGGAAAGUUAUAUGGAACCCAUUUAGCUUUUAUUUAUAGAAUAUUUUCUUUGUUCUUGAAAAAAAAAAAGUGUUUGAUGCCCAACGAGGGAUUAAGGGAUCAGUUGAAUCCCACUUUAUCGACGAGAAAGAGGUGGCCAUGAUUGGUCCUAACACCACCUCAUCCACUGGGGGAGGAUAAGGACGUGCCCUAGAAGAAGAGGCACAUUGAGCAAGUCACUUGGCUUGUUCCUUGGGAGGUAGUACCUAAUAAGUCUUAUGAGUUGUACUACAGGACAACAGAAGCAGGAGAAAGAGGCUGCCACAUGGAGCAGGAAGAGAAGCAUGACCUCAUGGCAUUCAUGAGAACUGCUCUCCCUUUAUCUGCUCAUCUUGUUCUCUCAAAUAGGAAAAAAAAUAUAUGGAAAAAAGGUUUCCAGGGUCAACAUGUUUUGAUAUGAACCAAACUUGGUUUUUUGAACUAGAUUUUAUUGAAUCAACAUCAAGGCGAUCAUUAAAAAAAAAAUGAUAAAAACAAACUCUAGCUAGUCAAGUAUUUGACAAUCUUAACACUCAAAUGUUUGUAUGAAAGAGAGGCCUAAAGAACCAUUUCAGAUAUGAACAAUUUCAUUGUUUCCUUUUGUUCCUUACAAUUCAAGCUGUAUAAGAAGUAACUUACAGAAUUGGGAACCAAUCAAAAAGUCAAUUAGAAAGAAGAUCUACAAAAGACAAUGACUGAAAACACUUUAUGAUUCUACUCAUCUUGUGCAAAAAUAUUGCUAGAAACUACAAAUUAUAUAGAAAAAUAAACAAAUUGUGGAGCUUACAACUAUAAUAUUUGGUCUGGUUGGGGUGUAGUUAAUCCACUUAUCAAAGAUUCAUGGUUCAAAAUUUUAUUCGAUGAUUUUUUUAUAUUUAAAAUAUUAGUCCAAUUAUGAUAUAUUGGAUCUGCUUACAAAUUUUAAAGAUAUCAAACAACUUAGCAGGUAAGGUUGAUAAUUAUGCUUGUAUCAUAUUUUUUAGAAAAAAAAAGAAAAAAGAAAAAAGAUGGAGGUUGGUGAUAUUCCUCAUGCAUGAGAAUGGAUGUGACCUGGCAGAAAGACAAUUCAGGUUCACAAGCACAUCCAUUUAUGACAGCUGGAGUCUUAACCAAAGAUUGUUUUUUAGGAAAUUCUUUCUGUUCACAAGUGGCCAUCAUUGUACCAGAAGGGGAGGAAGGCAUGCAUCAGAAGAAUGUCUUCUCUUCUAUGAGAAUAUAGUAGGAUUAAACAAUGCUGCAUAGUUGGAUAUGGUAGAACUGACAUGCUCAUCAAAAGAUGAAGACACAGAGAAAAGGAGAAAGAAAACACAGACAAGCUGUGACUGCAGGUGCAGCAAAGCGCCAAAGUUAGGGCCAAACUCAGUGUUGCAUAAUUGGCACAGUUACAGUCUGCCGACAACUGUGAUUGGUUGUGGCUUAUAUCAUCACAGUUUUCAUCUCAUCUCUCUCUCUCUCUCUCUCUCUCUCUCUCUCUCUCUCUCUCUUGUGUGUGCUUGUGUGGCACAGUGACAAGGUGGGGGGGUCCAUUUGGAGACCAUAGUCUGAGGUAGCUGACCAUGCGAGGAAAAUGAUGUCUAUUCAGGAAUGAUGAGAGAGAAUUAUAGUGAGAAAAAAAAAAAGGAGCCCCUGAGCUAUUGACAAAGUAUUGAGAUAAGCAUGUUCUUUUAAUGGUGUCCCAUAUGAAUCAUUAAAGCCUAGCAAUGGGGUCCUAUCUCUGUCUAUUACUGCCUAUUGUCACCAUUAGUUGAUAUCCACCUACUUGUGGUGAAUCACUUGAAGAUUCUAUAUGAAUCUAGAAAGCAGGUAGGCUCACCAGACCCUUGGAAUAUAAUGUCAAGAAGGAUAGCAGUGUGGGAUGGGAACUAUGAGCAACUCAAUUUGUAUUUUGUGUUGAAAUCGAGAAUAUUAUUUUUCUUUAUAACAUAGGGUGGUUAAGAAGAAGGAAAAUAUAGCAGUCUACGAAUAUAUAAUUUAAGCAGUUUCUAAACAUUAUUACUCUAGUUUUAGAAUUGAAAAAAAUAAAAAAAAUCCAACUUAUAUCACAAGAGGAAGGUUAUGUUGGUUUUUUUUUACACCUAAAGCAUUGAUCUGAUAAUUUAUAUACACUAUCAAGAUAUUGUUUUGGUGAUAAUGGUGUCUUAAAAUCACUUCUUAAAAUAAAGUUGAGGUUUCAAAAUAUCAUCAAAAACUAGUCUUUCGAGUAAAAUCUUUGUUUGUUGAUGUCAAGAUUCUAAGAUAGGAUCUUGUUUUCACUAUUUACCGUUUGGGAAAAAAAAGAAAAGAUAACAAUGUGGAGGAAAUAUGAUCAACUCAAUGUGUAUUUUAUAUUGAAACAAUCCUUAAAUAAAAAGAGCAUUAUUUUCAAUUUAUACCAAUAUCAACUGUCUCUUCACACGCACACAUAAAUUUUUUAAAAAAAUAUAGAAAAUAUACAAUUGACUAGCAAAAUAAUUUUUUUUUUGAAAAUAAAAAAAAUAUACAAUUGACUAGCAAAAGAAUUUUUUUUCAAAAGUAUGCAUCAUCAUGUAUCAACAAAAUUUUUUCUUCCAAAAAAAAAAAGUAUAAUUAAUUAAGAAAAGUACAACAUCACCAUUCGCAUCGAGAUGAGCCAAAAAAAUCAAGUUCAUGAGACCACCUCCUCUCUUCAAAUACCAUUAGAAACAUUAAACCUAGCAUCGUAUUUACAUGCAAUCGAUUAAUCCCGUUAAGGUUGACCUCCCGCAUCCUAAGGCAAGACAAUGGCAGUUUCUUGCGAAGAUAAAGAUAGAGGGAAGAAGAUGACAAUAUUCUCUUUCCCAUUCGGUCUUCUCCACUUUCAAGCGAAAGAUUGGACGUAAAGGAAGCAAACGGUGGUCUUUAGCUAUCAUUCACUCACCCGGAAUUUAUGGUGGACUUCAAGAUUUCAUGCGACUUGGAGGUUCAUUCCACAUGGCCCUCCCAUCCCCACAUUUCAUGGGAAUAAAGGAAGCAUUCAGUUGAAACUCCUCUUCGGAGUAUGAUGAUUACAUGUCACUUCCAAGAGUAAACAAAAAUAAACUAAAAGGUUUCACUCACAAACAUCACUGGUGGAUGAGUUGACGUUCUAAUUUUCUUUUCUUGUCUAAUUCAUUAUUUAUUUAUGUGGGAAAAGAAAAUCCUGUUUAUGAUGAUUUUUUAUUCUUUUCUCACUCGUAAAGUUUAAUAAAGGAAGGCCAUUAAUGAUGAAAGCUUUAUUCUAACAUCAAAGCCAAGUAGAUUUAAUCGAGACUAGUUUUAGAUUGAAUACUCGGAUAAUGAUUUCCCUUUUUUUUUUAAUUUGAUGUCUUUUUUUUUUUUCUAAUAUCCUAAAUGAGAUAUUUAUAUAUAUAUAUAGAAGAUAUUUAUAUAAAGCACCGCUAUGCCAAAGACGAUACACAUAGAAGACAUAAGAGGAAACAAGAAGAUCCAAAUGGAUGGAAGACGGCCAAAGUGGAUUGAAUGAUUGGCAGUGCCACCUCCCGAAUGACAUGCCACUGAGGAGUGUUUGGUGGACGUGUCACACACAGUGCCACGCCACAGAGGAGACCAAUUUAACGGUGCCCAUUUGGGUGCCCCCAUCCCAUCUUGGCUUUGACUCCCACCGAGACUGCGGACACCUCCACAGUGACAUGGUGGCUCCUUGCCACCUGAUAUGAUGAGCCAGCUUGAGACACAUCAUGUGGUCAGAGGAAUGAUAUGGUUCCAGUGGACCACAACAGAGCUCGAGAUCUCUAAUGGAGCAUCUCCACCAUUCGAAUGGAUAAGAUGGUGCAUAACGAUCCCCUCUCUCUCUCUCUCUCUCUCUCUCUCUAUCUAUGCUUUUUCUUGCCUUUUUCAUGUUAUCAUCAUUGCAUUUCGUGAAGGCCAUGAGAUGAGGCAACUGUGGUGGUCGCAAUACUCCUAUUUAUAUAUAUAUAUUUGAUGUUGGUGGCAAUUGUUUUUUACUUACGGAUGUAUAACUAUAACUAGUUGGAAUGAAAUUACAUAAAAAUAUUAUUAUUUAAGAUCCUUAGUGUAAAUUGUUGGUCAAAAAUCUCAGUUCAAGAAAAUCCUAAAACAUAUUAAUAGUUCUUUUUUUUUAAUCUUUUUUGGUUUAAGCAUAUAAGUAUUGUUUGUUGCCUAAUAAAUUUUUAGCUUGCCUUCCUAUUUGCUUAUUCAAUCUAUCAUUUGAAUAAUGGUUAUUUGCUUGUGCAUUUGUUUAUUAAUAUUUUACUAUAUCGUCUUAAUGAAUAUGAGAUGGUAUAGUAAUAAAACGCUUUAUAAGGUUCGAUCAAACAUAAUUCAAAUUAUUUUUUACUAUCCUAUAUUUUUCUUCUAACUCAAAUUUUAUGUUUUCCUUAUAUCAAUCGGGUAUCAGAGCAAUAAAAAAAUAAGGCUAGAGAACGCAAAUCGUGAAUUAAUGGACAUACCAAUUCAAACUACCAAUCUCAAGAAAUAAUCACCUUCAGAAAAAAAAAAAAAAUUAUAUGUAAUCAUUUUUAUUGAGGAUCGAAAACCUUACUUGAUAAGUUGUUGAUGAUACUAGCUGAUAAAGACUUUCUAUUCAUAGCAAGACUUUCUACUUAUAGCUUAUAUUCAUUUUUAUAUUACUCAACAAAAAUCCUAAUUUUGAUCGACUACACAUCACUUGUUUAGAAAUGGUCUAAUUGAGUCAAAUAUAGCAACAAUAUAUUAGUGAUAAUAUUCGUCCCACCAUCAUCAUCAUCAUCAUUAUUUUUAUAGUUAAAUUAAAAGUUUAGUGAAUACCAUCACAUAAAAAUAAUAAAUUCUUAAAUAUUUUUUAAGAGCUAUUAUUUAUUUGGAUGAUUUUUUCUAUAAAAUAUUAUAUUUUGAAUAUUUUCCAAAAGGUAUUUACUCCUUUUUAUUUAAUUUUUUUCUUUCUAAAAAUACAUCUAAUUUUAAAAUAUCUAAAAUACCUCUAAAAAUUUUUUUCUCAAAAUUUUUCAUUCAUUUUUAUCAGUUUUUAACUGUUAUAAUAUUUUCUAUCAUGUUAUUAUAAUAUCAUAUUUUUCGGCCUAUAAUUAAUUUGAUUGAGGUUAUUAGUCUAUUUAGAUCAUUUACAUUGUUUUAAAGUAGACUUUAUAAUAUUUUUAUUAUGAUGAUUAAAAUAUUAUAGUAUGUCAAAAAUAAGGUAAUAAAUCAAAAUAUUAUAAUAAAUAAAAAGGAAAUAAUUUGAAUAUUUUUAAAUAAAAAUAUUGUUUUGAGAAAAAACGAGUAUCGAUAUGAAAAUAUCAAAAAAUAUAUGUAAUUUUUAGAAAAAUAAUCUUUUUAUUUAUUUAUGACCUAAGCAUUUCGAAUUUUAAAAUGACAAAUAUACUGAUGAAGUACAUCAAACAAAUCAUUGCGACUGUCCCAACGCAGCCGAUCAAUCAAUACGUUCGACCGAGAUGCGAUCAGCUUAUCCUACUCCGGCGGUGCAACCGAACGUUUAAGUUCAAAGAACAUAAAUAAGUUUAUUUCUUCCUUGCUUUAGACUUACUUAUUUAUUGAAUUCUAUGGUGUUGGGCGCAGUGGUUUCGUUUGCUUCAGCCUUCGGUUUCACUUCCUUUCUCUCCCUCCCCUCUCUCUCGAACUCUAAAGAGAGAUGAUCGAAGCGGAGGGCGACGAGGAAGCCGACGAAGUGAGAAGGUACCUUCCCUGAUAACUUCGAUCGCGUCAUCUUCUUUGCGCAAUCGAGAUCUUCUAGCGGUGGCGCCGAUGGCGAAGUCCGGGCCCGCGGAGUCGGGGUUGGCGGCGGCGAGGGUUGGAGAGUUGAAGAAGGAGCUGCGGCGGCUUGUGAGGGCGAUCGCGGAAGAGGACGACAGCAGGAUCGAGAAGUUCGAGGGGGCGGCGAGGGCGCUCGCGGCGCUCAAGGACCUCCGCUUCCGCGGGAGCGGGAAUUCGAAUGGGGCCCUGGCGAGCCAGCGGAAAGCGGAGACCGAAAUCGAGGCGGUGGUCGUCCCGGAGCACUUCUUGUGCCCCAUCUCCGCGGAGCUGAUGAGGGAUCCCGUCGUCGUCGCCUCCGGACAGGUUCGAUAUCUUACCCCUGAAUCGUCGGGUUCGCUGCGUUCUGACUGUAUCGAAUUCGUUUCUGAUGCAGAAAUGCUGUUAUCGCAUGAAUUCUUGUUCUAAAAAGAUUAGGCUUUUGAUGAUUUCUCUUGAAAAUUCAAUUUCCCCCAUCUGCCUCGCUCUGUUUUUGUUCGUCUUUUAAGUUCCAUGUUGCUGAUUUAUACUUCUUAGAGGAGUUUGAUGCAGAAAUGUGUUUCUUCUGUUCUUCCAUGAGUUUCUUGUCCUGAAAAGUUUAGGCUUUGAUGAUAUUCCAUCAAAACUAAAAAUUUCCCCUUCUGUUUAGCUCUGUUUUUGCUCGACUUCGAGUUCCAUGUUGCUGAUUUAUAUUUCUUGCAGGAGUUUGGGGGGGAGUUGAUUUGAGCUGCAAUAUCAAAUGGAUCUUUUGAUAGAUGAUCUAAAACCUUGUUUUCUCCUCAUUCAGUCCAAUGUUCAUCCUCGGUGCUCCUCCUCCGUAUUGUCGGCUAACUCCGUAGGGAACUAUUCCUCUUAUGGUCGGAUUUACCUGUCAUGGCCUCAUACUUCACCGCUUUGUCCAUAUCUUGUGCAAACAAGACCAAUAUUUCUUUUAGAUGUUAAAGAAUGAAAGAUUGGAUUUUGAUUGUGUGCUGUUUCAGUUGGAUUCUUAGAUUGAAAUGAAGGAAAAUAGAAGACACCACCUACUUCCACUACCUUGAAGCCUUAUGCUUUGACUUUGCUGUCAAGACUGUCAAAAAAUGUCUUCACCUUUGCUACUCUGCUGCUUGCCCUGUCUUAACUUGCAACCAAAGCAAGGAUUUUUCUGUUCUUUUUCUUCCUUUUUUUCUCUGUUGAUUUUUGGAUGAACCACCGGAGCUUUAGCAAUUCGCUGAACACUCCUCGAUUUUUGUUUGGUUUCAUGUGAUGAGACUGGUUUGGCACACCGAUGGUUACAAGUGCUCGGUCGUUUGUGUCUUGUUGCAGACCUACGACAGGGCUUUCAUCGAGGAAUGGCUGAGUUCUGGGAACCGAACUUGCCCGCAGACUCAGCGGGUCCUCUCCGACACCACCCUCACCCCCAAUCACCUCGUCCGCAGCAUGAUCUCCCAGUGGUGCAUCGAGCACGGCGUCACCCUCCCUCCACUGGACCAGGGGCAAGAGGAAGGGUUGAUCACAGGAAAGGAGCGGAACGCGCUCAGGAGGAUCUUCGACAAGAUGUCCUCUUCUUCCUCCGUCCCGGAACAGAAGCAAGCGGUCAGGGAGCUCCGCCUGCUCACCAAGCGUAACCGGUCGUUUCGCGCACUCGUCGGGGAGAAUCCCGACACGAUCCCGCAGCUGCUGUCGGUUCUGUCUGCUCCUGGAUUGAGGUGCGAUCCCGAGGUGCAAGAGGAUACCGUGACGACGAUCCUCAACCUCUCGAUCCACGACAGCAAUAAGAAGAUCGUGGGAGACAACCCCCAAGCCAUCCCUUUGCUCAUCGAUGCUCUGCAGACGGGGACGAUGGAGACCCGUAGCAACGCCGCCGCAGCGCUCUUCAGCUUAUCUGCCCUCGACUGCAACAAGCUCAAGAUAGGCGAGUCGGGGGCGAUGAAGCCGCUGGUGGAUCUGCUGGAACAAGGCAGCCCGAGCGCCAAGAAGGACGCAGGAUCCGCCAUUUUCAACCUGUGCAUGGUUCACGAGAACAGGGCGAGGGCGGUGAGGGGUGGGGCGGUGGGCGUGGUCUUGAAGGCCAUCGGUCACCACUCGCUCGUGGACGAGUCGCUGGCGAUCCUCGCGCUGCUGUCGAGCGACCAAGACGCGGUGGAGGAGAUCGCGAGGGCCGGCGGCGUGCCACGCUUGCUCGGCAUCGUAAGGGACAGCCCGUGCGCGCGGAACAAGGAGAACGCAGCCGUCGUUCUCUUCUCUAUCUGCAUGCAUGACAGGACCAAGCUGAGGGAGGUCGGGGAGGAGGAGGAGAAGCACGGAAGCAUCUCUCGGCUGGCUCAGAACGGCACGUCGCGGGCACGCAGGAAGGCGGCCGGAAUCAUAGACAAGUGGAAGCGAGCAUCGCGCAGCACGCAUUACUCGUGUUAGGCGUCGACGUACGCAAAGAAAUAAGGAAGAUGCACAUCAUGUAAAUAAUAGCUGCUCUUUUCGUUUCAAGCUCGGUCGAGUUGUUGGGUAUAAGCGAGAAACUAUAUUGCUGUUCUACGAGUUCUUCUGAGACGUAGGAAGUAGUGAUAGUGAUAGUGUUGGUUUUGCCUCGGAAUCAGGCUGCAGGACCUGUCCUUCCUCCUCUUCAUAGAUAUGAAUAGCUUGUGCAGAUUUGCCGGUUUGCUUCCCUUUUCUUCUGCUCCCACAUCGUCGAUUACUGCUUAGGAGCACUUCAACCCGUGUGACUGCUCGGACCGCGUAACACGAGCUAAACCAAAGGUGGGGGCGGCGGAGGCGGCGUCGGUGGGUGAACCGCGCUCACCUGCUCCGCGGCGGUGACGCAGCAGUGGGGUACCCAGCGCAGCACCGCCGCUCAUUGAUUGCGACCACCUCCGCCUGCUGUUGUUCACGCGCUCAUCCUUCUUUUGGCUGCUGCUUUCCAUCUCACACCCCCCGAUUCACGGGUCGAAGGCCGGUGGGGCCCUCUCCUUCGGCGCAUGCGACGUCGGACUCCGGCGGAUCUAGAUUUAGCUGACGACCACGGGCCCCUGUAGCGUCCCCACCACAAAAACCAUUUCUCCUUCGCCUUACGGUGGCUUACAAACUUCAUCCUGUUUGUUCGUACCAUCUUACCCCAUGCAAUUCAAAACAUAUUAGAGAGAGAGAGAGAGAGAGUAUCCUAAUGGAGAACUCUUGAUUACCCUUGCUCAUGUUUAAAUUCGAUUUGAUCGCAUGCAUCUUUACCCUCAGAUUUCCUUUGUAACGAUCAAAUAUGUAAGAUAAGUAAAUUAGAAACACUAUUAUUAAGAAAAUAUGAAAUACUUUAUUAGAUGCACUAUCAUUAAACAAAUAUUUUUUUUUUAUAUUUUCUAAAUAUUAUUGAAUAAAUCAUUCAUUCGGUUGAGCAGUCAAAAUCUCAUCUUUAAUCUGAUGGCAGAGUUCAAAAUCUUAUCUUAUAAUUUUUUAAAAUAUAAUUAUUAUUUUAAUAUAUUUAUAAACCUAUUAAUAAAUAACGUCUGAACCCCCAAAGAGAGGAAAAUGAAACGAAAAAAAAAUAAAAAAAAUAUAAGGUAUUAAUAAUAAACAAUUGUAGUAAGAACUUGGGAAAUGGGCUGUUGGGCUGGAGAUUGAAGUAGCCAAGCCAAUAAUGGGCUUCAUGGGCCAUGUUCUCCGAUUCGUCUCAACCGAGGGAGAGGAUCUAUCUACUAAAAAAUGAGAUGUGACAUUUUUGCUUUUUUACGAAAGUGACUUCGAUGUUGGCUUGUUCAUAAAAACAAGCUAACAUUGAAGUCACCUCUCUGAGAGUUAUCACAUUCACAUUUCUUCCAAUAUAAUAAAGUUUUAUAUGGGCGCUUAAUGAUUCCGAUACAUCAAAGUUGUGGGGGGAAUGAUGUUGAUAGUAAGCUUGGAGUAGAUUUAUAGACUUUGAAUUUAUCUAAUGUGAUGUUGAUAUAGACUAAGAUCGAUGUUAGGUGGAGUUCUCGACCGCUAAGUUAAUUCCGAUACGGAUUAGGUAGUCAAAAAAAAAAAAUUAUGAUUUAAAAAAAAAUCAAGUUUUACUGACGUGAUGAGACUAUUCGUUUUUAGUCUUUUAUAUUAUUUUAUAGAUUAAAAUGUCAUAUGUCAAGUUUUGAUUAUAGACAAAUAUUUUCUUAAUUUUUUAUUAUAAUAACUCACACUAUAAUAGGUUUGGAGUUUUGGAUCACAACUUGUCCUCCUUUUAUCUCUCACAAAAAUGCCAUGUGUGAUGCUUGCAACAAAGAAUACAAGAAGAAUGCAUGCUAUCUCUCUUAGGACAUCAACAUCUUCCACACCCCUUUCACUGUCAUCUUCUUUUUUUUCUAUCCUCAGGUAACACCAAACACAUAAAUCCAACCGAAAAAGGAUGCUGAAGAGUUCUUCUUAGGCCACAGAUUGGGAGGAUUUCUGUGAUCUUUUGCUCCAGACAUAUUUGACACUUUUGCUUGAUCACCCUAUUGAAUGGUUCAUAUCAGGAUUAUAGAGUGUCUAUCGCGAUAUUGUUUUAAUGAAUCAUUCGUUCAGUAAUAAUUUAUUUUUAUUGAUUUGAGCAUAAUAUAAUAUUAAAAAUUAUUAGGUUUAGAUAGGCAUUAUACAAUUUUACUGGACCUCAAAAAGUAUUCUUGAAAUGACAAAACAUCUUAUAUGGAAGGAAUUAGACAAAUAAUCCGAAUUCAAUUUGGCUCGGAUAUUAAUUAUAACAUACAUAUUUCUACAUAAUAGUAUAUUUCCUUGGCAUCUUCUGAAUCUAAUCAAAGACAUAUUCUCAAUCUUGCAUAAUUUUGAUGCUUUCUAUAUUUAAUGUGUGUUUAGGAAAAGUAAUAACAAUUUUGAAAAAAUGAGUGACCUUCUGCUCUUCUUUGAUAUGAGGGGAAAUUGUUGUAAUAACAUUUGCAAGUAAUUAUAAUUUCUUUUAGAAAAAAAUUAUUAUUAUUUAUUGAACCACACUUAUUUUUAUGCCUAAAAAUUUGAUCCGAUAGUAAUAUAUUGGACCUAUUUAUCAAACUCGGUUAUCAAAUAUUGAAAUUCAAAAUCUCAUUCGAUAUAUUCAUUCCUAAAACUUGAGAAUAACAAAUGUAUUUAUCAAAGGUUAAGGGUUUGAAACUCACAUCAUAUAUAUUUUUUCUAUAUUUAAAAUAUUGAUAUGGUAUUUAUAUUUGUAAACCUAAAAUAUUGAUUUAAUAAUAAUGUAUCAGAGUUUAAAAUCUUAAUCAAUAUAUUUUUAAGAUAUAUUAUGUGUUUUUAUUUGGAAAAAAAAUGCAAGGAAAGAAGAAGAAGUGUGAAUCAUAAUUGAAUGAUUUCUGCUAUGUCAAUUAACAUUUAAGUAUAAAUUUCAUGAGAAAUAACAAAAUGUUGCAUGAAAUUGUUGAAUGAUAUCUGCACUAGAAAUACAAAAAUAUAGGAAAAGAUGUGAGGAAUGAACCUAUCGAGGAUUCAAAUCAUCCUUUCAUUAAAAAAAAUCCGAAAACCCAAAUAAAUCACACUCAGGAUUGACCCAUCAAGUGCGUGAAGCAUUACGAAGAACUGAGAGGUGGGAUUCUAAUUUCCAUUACAGUCAAUGGCCACCGAGAAUGGAACAGUAGGAGGAGCUGUGGGCAAGUGGAACUUAUAUUUCCCAUGAAUCGAUUGGUGGGUUCUGCACUCGUAAGAUAAGAUCCCAUCUUCUCCGUGCCUUUUGGUACCACAACACUAUCAUAGUGUGCAACCAUGUGCACUUAUUUAUGACCUCCCCCAAAGAACAAUGCCAUACUACCUUUCACAGACACUUGAUUCUUAUUUUGAUCAAAAAAAUUGUAUUUUAGUUGUUGUAAUUGAAAUGGUCUAAUUUUCUUGAAUUAAUUUGCUACCAUUUUUACAUUGUUCCAUUAUGUUUGUGAAACUCUUGUUAAUUCUCUUGGAGCAGACACUGUUCUUCCCCAAUGAUCUUCCUUCUUAAAGAUUUAAUUGUUAGGAAAGAAUUCAAUAAAUGCUUAAAAAUCUUUUUAUGAGUAAUUUGGUUUACAGUUGAUGUAUGAUACAAGUCCAAAUAAAAAGAGUGCUGUAUAGAUAUUUUGAAGCAACACUAGAAAAGAGAGGCAUAUGUAAGAUCUAAACUCAUGAUUUGGUUUGAUACCAUCUUAAAGAAUUUGAUGUAUGUGAUCACAACUCUCAGGAGUUCAAACUAUUACAAAAUGAUCAGUACAUGCUUUAUCAUUCUUAGGACAUGGAGUUGCCUCACUGCCUCACUCCCCUGUGCUAGUAGUCCUUCUUGACCUGUAGGGACAGGAGACACUUUGGAUAAGAUGUUGGUUGGUUGAUGUUGAUGAUGCAGAUGCCUUUUAUUUCUUUUGUUGUGGGAUGAUAAAUAUGGUAAAACCAAAAAGGUAAAUUUGCACUGGAAAAGAUGAAUCAUAGUUUAUGUUUUGGAGAUAGAAGCUGGCAAUCUUAUUCUCAUUCAGUGGUGCAAGUUAUUCAGCUAGAAACAUGUCUGCAAGGACAUGCUUAUAGGUUUUCUGUGAAGCCAAACCAAAGACUGGGCAAGUUUACUGUCAUACUAGUCAAAUCUUGUUCAACCUUUCACUUCAUGGGUUAGCCAAAAACAAUCCAAAGGAAAAAGUUCUUGCAAGAAACAUUGAUCACCUCCUCAGGGCACAAGAAACAUUAAUUAGUAUGACAGGCAGACCCUGUGGCUGCAAUUGCUUCAGAAGUUGCAGUAGUCCCAAGGUAUUCAUUCACCUCCCAGCUGGAAGGAUUUGGUUCCAUUGCCUCUUAGGAAAUCUUUCUUACAGACAGCAUUGAAUGAGGUAUGAAAUGCACCAGCCAAACAGGCAAAAAAAGAAAGAAAGAAAUAGAAAAGACUACCACUUUAAGAUCAUAAUUUAUCUCAAUAGGAAUUCCUUUAGAAAGAUUUUCUUGGUUUAUUCUGUUUUUUUUUUUCUUUUGAGUGCUGAAAGCACCACCAGCAUCACCAUCACCAACACAUAAGAAGUUAAAGCCUUCCAUUUGGGCAAGUUGGGAUGGCUGCAAAGGUGUUGGACAGGUCAAGAGGGUUUGCCCACAUCAUGAUCACAUAAGAAUGGCAUCACCAAGCUCUGGUGACACCCAUGGCAACAACUCCUCGAACCCUCUGUCCUAUUACUUUUGGCGAGACUUUGAAUGCUUUGAUUCUUCCAACACUCUCUUACAUUGGCAGCCAAUAGACUUUUCUUGUGGGAAUGAGAAGUGUGAAAACUGGCCACCUCUCUCGUCUCAUUCGUUUCCACCAGCAAUUUCUUCCAGAAGAAAACUGACCACCUUAUAUUUGGCUAGAGAACCCACGGAAUAGUACACAUGGAAAGCUAAAGAAUAGGAAGCAAAAGAGAGAAAUGGAGAGAGAGGGAGCACUCAUUUCCUCCACCAAUACCUUCCAAAAUGUCAGCAACUAUGUAUUGGAUAGGUAGGAAGCCAACGCUUAUGGAGAGAGAGAGAGAGAGAGAGAGAGAGAACUCUGUAUGCGUGUGCAUUGGAUCAUGAUGAUGAGGUGGUGGUGUUGCUCCUCUAUAAAUUCUGAUCUCCUAUUUAGUUCCUCACCAAUCAAACAAGCCAUCAUCAUAGCCUGGCCUUCUUCUCCCUUCUGCAGCCGAACCCAAUUUGUCCCUCAGGAGAGCACACGAGCGCCAUGGGAGACCACAAGAACCAAGGCUUCCAGAACCCGAGGCAUGUGGUCAAGAAGGUGCUCGCCAGGCCUCAACACGAAGGUGACGGAGCCAUUGUUAGGAGGAGCAUCGGAAGGUGAUGAUUCUUGACCUCUCCUACGUUAUUCCUUCUUCCGUUCAUCAGAUUUCCAUGAUCUUCUCCUCAUUGAUUGGUCUUCUCCAGGGGAGAACUAAGAAACUUGGAUCCCUUUCUGAUGUUGGAUGAGUUUUCCGGUGACCUACUGGAUCUAUAUUCUCUUUCUUUAUCUCCAUUCUUGUUCUUGCUAGUGAUGUCUGAUUCGAUUUCCUUAUGCUUUUACGUAUCUCACGCACAGUUUCUGCUCCUGCGGGAUUUCCUGAUCAUCCUCAUAGAGGUUUGACUUCAGUUCGCUCACUGUUUCUUGGUUUGACUUUACCAUCAUGUCAACAAUCUAUAUAUCCCCUGUCUUCUUCCCUGUGUUAAUGUCAGGUUUCGAGACCGUCACCUACAUGCUGGAGGUAAUGAAUU